CUGUGUUAGAUAAAUGUAAACACAUUCGUUUUAGUUGGAGCUUCUUGAUUCAAGCCGUUACCAUGUGGAAAAUUGCAUCUGUGUUCUGGCUUCUUGUAGGUUUGGGUGUCAAUGAUGCUAGAUGGAGAGAAGGUGAAGGUGAAACGUGUUAUGAUGAAAAAUUAUCGCAAGUUUAUUGUCAACGACUGGGUCCCAACACAAGAAGAAGAGAGGAAUGUCAACUUUGUAAUACAGCGCACUCCACCGUGUAGCGCCGGUCCUCUGCCGUGAUGGAUCAACGUGGCAAUGGUAGACAGCGGAUGACAAGGAUGGAGAGAAGUAACGUGGCUUUGGAGCAGAUUUCCUGAGGUCAACCUACAGUACUGCAAACUGAAAUUUUUUUUCGCCGUCUAAACUUUGAAGGCAUCCAGGACUCAAAUACUUGCUGAAAUUGCUUUUAUUUGUAGAACGUUCUGGCAUGUCAUAAUAAAGAACGUCUGUUCAUGCAUGAA
rnacentral:misc_RNA from 1 species